ACAGCCGCCCUCGGAAAGUGCAAAAGCAGCCACGAGACAGAUCCAGGCUUUGUUGCUAAUUUCCCAGGGUGAAAAUUGACAAGCCUGGGAGUGCAGUCAGCACAACCCAUUGCAUAUGCUACUGACAAACGCUGGGGACAUCCCCUCCCACCCAUGCCUAUCACACAGAGAAUGUGACCUCUGCAGGACUGGACUCUGGAAGGACCCUACCUCCAGGACUCGCCCACAAGAAGAACUGCAAAAGAGCUCCAAAGGAGAAGGAAAAAAAAUCAUCAGAAAAACCCCCGUGCAGAUGAAGAGGCUUGAUGCUUAAUGCGCACAGAUGUGAUCGCCAGUGGUCGCCGACAAUGAAAUAUACAAGUGCACACAAAGUGAUCCGGUGAACAAGAGGUGGAAUUUAAUCAUCUUCUGCUGACACUUUGUGAAAAACACCAUUAACCCUCAGCAAACCCCUGUUUUCCUGGCUCCCUGUAACCCCUAAAGUCUCAGCCCCUCCUCCCAAGGAGAAAAAGUGAAAGAAGAAUUUGUGGUUUUGUUUACUCAGCCAAGCUAAAGGUUGGAUCCAGCCAGAUGAAAACUUUAAGGAACAAUGAAGGAGAGAGGUGCCGCUCUGAACCGGGACUAAGGUGCAGAACUGGAGUGAGCUGUUCUCCAACUCCUGAAUUUGAACCCUGGACUGAAUAAAAGCUUUAAGACCACAAGACAAACACAAAGUUUAUAGCCAACUCGUUUUUCAAGUGUAGUGUCUCUGCUACAGUCCUUGCUACUCUCUCCUUGGGAAGGUGCCUUCCAAGGUUCACCGUGGCUCCUCUGUACAUGUCCCUAUUCAGGAGGGCCUGGACUCUUCUUCAAUUUUCUGGUAUGGAAGACAUAUGUGGUAUCAAUUAUUCCAGGACCCAGAUCACUUCUUUCCUUUUAAAAUGCCACCAAGCAUCCUAAGAAAGUGUGAUGGUGUUUGGUGUUUGGAGGGUUUUAAAAUUGGGCACUUUGAAGCUAGCAGGCAGCACUGGCUCUACACACUGUUUUAAGUAGCUUUUCCAUGCUCAGGUGCUACUCCCCCACUAACUCCCCAAACUGCUUCCACAUUCUCCCGCUCCUGCCCUCUGCAUGCUUUACCAAUGUGCACAUAGCUGUUCUUGGGCAUAGAUGGUGCAUGCUAGGGGGAUUGUUUGAAAGGGUAAUUAAUAGGCAUAAGAUCCUGUCCUCAUCUGAUAUAUUUUAUAACUUAUUUUUUAUCAAAAAUGAAUUUCAAAUAUUCUGUUGCCAUCUCAGACAUACCAGCAUACAGCCUAAAAAUAGGUACAGUCACCAGAGCUAUGGUGACGGAUCAAACAAAUCUAUCUGCCAUCAAACUCAUGUUCUUGACUUGGGAAUCUCUCUGUGAAACACAGGGCAUUUCUGAGGAAAGCAAAGCCUGGUGACUGAAUGAAACCUUAGAUUUAUCCCCCUAAGGACAGAAUAGUUUUACAGUCAUGCUUUAAUUUUCCUUUGUAUUUUAUACCUUUGACAUUUCGUGGACAAAUGUAAGGAGCAGCAAGGCUGUUGACAGGCCUGGGGAUGACGAAGGAAGGACUAAGCGUUUUCUUCAUUCAAACAAGGCAGAAAGUGAAACCACGUAGUCUAAUGGUCAGUGUCUCAAUAAGAUGAGAAUAAACAGAAAGAGGCUCCGUGUCUUAUUUAUAUUUUAUCAGAGGUUAUUGCUGUAGAACCGUGAAGCACAAUAAAUAGCAUUCUGUUAGCAGCCAUUUGAAAGAAAAUGUUCAUCACUUUCAAAUAAAAUUACUUCCCUC
rnacentral:lncRNA from 1 species